rnacentral:rRNA from 1 species
UACGUAGGGUGCGAGCGUUAAUCGGAAUUACUGGGCGUAAAGCGUGCGCAGGCGGUUUUGUAAGCCAGAUGUGAAAUCCCCGGGCUCAACCUGGGAAUGGCAUUUGGGACUGCAAGGCUGGAGUUUGGCAGAGGAGACUGGAAUUCCUGGUGUAGCAGUGAAAUGCGUAGAUAUCAGGAGGAAUACCGAUGGCGAAGGCAGGUCUCUGGGCUAUAACUGACGCUCAUGCACGAAAGCG